rnacentral:tRNA from 1 species
GCCUCGGUAGCUCAAUGGUAGAGCAGCUGACUCUUAAUCAGCGGGUUGUAGGUUCGAGUCCUACCCGGGGUACCA